rnacentral:lncRNA from 1 species
GAGACACAGAAUAACCAAGUCCAAAAAUCUUAAGAGUUCAGCCUCCUCUGGUAUUUGCCAUGACAAUGGAUUGGAAGAUCCCUUGGGGAAGAAGAAUAAGAUGAACGAGGUGAAGAGAUCAAGUGUGCUCCUGUUAAAUCACAGCAGCCCAGAGAAGACAGCAUAAUGGUGGCUGCCUGCUGGAGUCCUCAGAGUCACCCUGUGGCAUGUUGAUAACCUCGAAAUGUCAAAGUUAUAAUUUGUCACCAGGCAUUCUGACUUAGAACAUAAGGCAUCUCAUCAAUGCCUGUCAAUCCACACCC